rnacentral:snoRNA from 1 species
AAGACUAUACUUUCAGGGAUCAUUUCUAUAGUAUAUUACUAGAUUAAGUUCUCUUUUUUUAAGAAAAGACUGAAGUUAGGUAAU